AUUCCAGCUCCGCGGAUACUUGGUGCCGCCGCCGCCGCCGCCGCUGCUCAGCCGAGACCCCGGGGCUCUGCGGCUCAUUACCUUCCCCGACACGACAUGGCCAAGCGCCGCCGCCCAAAGAAGCGCGAGUCGCCGCCCGAACCGGCCGCCGCCGACACCCCGCUCCGGCCCGGGGCUGAGGAGGAAGCCGAGAAGGAGGAGGAGGAGGAGGAGGAGGAGAAGGAGGAGGCGGCGGAGGGCGGGGGAAGAGGACGGCCGUUCCGGGUUCCGCCUGAGCCCGCAGCGCAGGACGAGGAGGCGGGAGCGGCGCGGUGAGAGAGAGGCGGAUGAAGGGGAGGCGACGUCUUUUCCAGGGCCGUGCGCGGCCCACGUCGCCGGGGCCCCGGAGGACGAGGACGACGAGGAGCAGGCGGUGGCGGCAGCUCCUCACGCUCACACGGCCACUGCUUCCCCGCCUCCCGGCUCCGCCCGCCGCGCCGCCGCUGUCGCAC
rnacentral:lncRNA from 1 species